AGUGACGCCAUCAGCCGUCGCCUGAGCCGUGGCGCGCGGGUGGCCGAAAGGCGAAAGUGAGAUUUCAAGGGCCGGGUCUGGGGCCCCGCGGGCGCGCAGUGCUGCGGCGUGUGGGGAGUACGGGGAGGCUGGAGAGGAGCCGGCCCCGGGCAGUGUGAGGUGCGGAAGCGCGGUCCAGACACUUUGCUGACGGGAGGCCGGUCCGCCAGAUCCGGGAGGUGGGGCCUCGUUCUGGACUGCUGUACGUAGUUUUAUUCCUGGUCAUUUUUUUCCACCGCCAAAUCGAGAGAUAGAGCUUUGGAUCAUGAGAGAUGGCGUCGUGUUGGGAAAAGAGCCUUCUUUACCUGAGUUUAAGCUCGGCUCAUAGACAUCCUCUACCUGAGUUUACACGUGUGUAAUAUGAAGGCAGUCGAUUAGGAGAUGUCUAAGAUCAUUACUUACACCUCAAGUUUCCAAGGGGAGGAAGACACGGGAAGGAUGCGUGGUCUGUGCCAGACUUUGUAGACGAUUCACUGAAUGACCCUGAUUUAGCUCUUCCGGCCCUCUUCGAUUCAGCUUGGAAGCAAGCAUAAAUAGUGAUUGUUGUCUGUAUACUUCUCUCGGAAGGAAUGCUGUUAUGGGAGUUGUGGGUUCAUUUUUAGGUGUCUGAAGAAGUUUCAGGACUUUUGAAAUGAUAGUGGAGCCCAUUGAACUCAGAAUUAUCCCUUUCUGGUCUAGUAGGAGUAUAGUGGCAUACGGAAAAUGAAGCAAACAUCAAAGACAGAUGUACUGGCACAAGAUUAAAAGUAUGUCUCAGCUGACAUAGUUGCCAUUUUAAGACUGCUUAGUUUAGCUGAAUAUGCCUGGAUUUUUUUUUUUUUUAGCAUUUUUUUUCUUUUUAGCAUUGGCAUACCAUAUGAAAUGUGGGCAGUUGCCAGUACUCUACAGAGUACCAAGGCAGAAUUGGCAAUGACUAAAUCAAUUCAUUCAAACAAAAAUUCAUCAUGUGCCUACUGUGCGCAUAAUUUGUGGAAUCAAAGUCUCUUGUUUCCAGGGGCUUUACAGUGUAAUAAGUGCUAUAGUAAAUAUAUAUACGGAGUGGUAACCAUCUGCCUAUUCCUCUCCUACAGUCGUUGCUGAGUUCCAGUGUAGAACAGAGCACUGCAUUGUGUAUCUCACCACUACUGAUUUAGAUUUUAUAAUUUCAGCUGCAUCCCUCCCUCCUACUUUGUAUAUUCUUCAGCAUCUUUUUCUCCCUUUCCACUUGAAUACUUUUCGCAAUCUUUAAAUCCCAGCCCAUUUUAUUAUAUGACUUUUAACUUAGACUUCACAAUUUUCCAAGUGCUAGAAAUUUCCUGAGAUUGCCUUUUCUCCAGUAUCAACGAAUGAGAGACUCCCUGUUCAUAUAUGAGAUAAACUCUUCAUACAUAUUCUAGUUCCAAUACCCCUCUUUCUCAUGCAUUUAUUAUCUUUUCUGUUGUCAACCUUCUACAAAUUCUGGUUCCUUAGCUAAUUCUUCUGUAGCUUUCAAUUAUUUCCUUCACAAGCAAACUUUCUUUCUUUAAAAAGUAUUCUAUACUCAGGAGGCUGAAGCAGGAGAAUCGCUUGAACCUGCGAGGCGGAGUUUGCAGUGAGCUGAGAUCCUGCUACUGCACUCUAGCUUGGGCGACAGAGCGAGACUCCAUCUCAAAAAAAAAGUGUCUACAAUCAGUGUCUUUUUUGUUUUCUGAAAUUGACUUGUCAGCCCUCUGCAGUCUAGUCUCUGUGUCUAUCGUGCUGUGCUACCAAAAAUGCUCUCUUUAAAGUAAUCUCAUUGUUUGGAAGAAAAUGAGUUUUUUGUUCUUUAAUAUAAUAGUGAAAUGAUGAUCCUGUUUCACUAGUAGGAUAAGGUUCAAAACUAUUAAAAUGGACAAGGCAUGUAAAGUCACUUUCUUUUAUUUUUAUCUUUUUUUCCCCCCGUUAGAACCUCUGGCAGGGACUGACUAGCCCAUGAAACUUAUUUCUUCUUCCCGGGCACACAGCUAAACUAAAUUUCACAGCUUUCCUUGUAGUUGGUUAUAGUCAUGUGAUGAACUUCUUUUUUUGAGACAGAGUUUAGCUCUUGUUGCUCAGGCUGGAAUGCAAUGGCACAAUCUCAGCUCACCGCAACCUCCGCCUCCCGUGUUCAAGCGAUUCUCCUGCCUCAGCCUCCCAAGUAGCUGGGAUUACAGGCAUGUGCCAUCACACCCGGCUAAUUUUGUAUUUUUAGUAGAGACACGGUUUCUCCAUGUUGGUCAGGCUGGUCUCGAACUCCCGACCUCAGGUGAUUCCCCCACCUCGGCUUUCAAAGUGCUGGGAUUACGGGCGUGAGCCACCGAGCCUGGCCGUGAUUAACUUCUAGCCAAUUAAAUAUGAAUGGAAAUGAUGUGCUCAUUUUUAGGGUUAAUGAAGUCCUCCUAUUCUCCCUUACUCUUUCUUCGUCAACUUGAUGCCUUUGAGCAUGGUGACCUUCAAAACUAUGUAUUGGAGAUGCCAAAGCCAGAAAAGAGAAGAAUGAGUGGCUGAAACAGUACUUGGAAGACAGCCACCCCAAUUAGAAACACCCCUUUUUGCACUUACUGUAAGAGAAAAAAUUGAGAUUUGAGAAUUUAUAUGUAUAGGAGCUAGAAUGACCAUAGCUAGUCCAGAAAUUGGUACAAGAAGUGGAGUACUGCUAAAACAAUAACCUAAAAUAUGUUACAUCAGCUUAUUUAUGAUGCAGCAGGUGGUAGAGAAUGUGAUUUGGAGGCUAGAAAAAGGAGGCCCAUGUUUGCAGUGGCAAAGUAAUUAGUAAAACUGUCACCUGAAAUAAUUCAAAAUCAGAUCACCUAUCUGUUUAGAUUAGCUCCAGAGGAAAUGAUUGAAAAGAGCAAAAGUAAUACUGUGUUGAAUUUUACAUUUUACUUUUAGUAAGGUUUUACUAAAGAGAGAAACUCAGGAAAUACUUCACAGAAGUGAGAGUGUACAGGAAUAUUUCUCAGGAAGGGUUGGAAAAGUUGACUUUUAUAAGACUUCUAAUAAAAAAAAAAAAAAAACUAGAAGAGGUCUUGAGUAUAGUUACCCUUGAGAUUAAGUCCUGCAACAAAGAUCAGGAAAAGGGUUUGGUCUUUCCAUUCAAAGUCAUUAUUUUAGAUGGCUUCAAGAUAGCUACGAUAAAGGUCUAAAGGAACUGGCAUAGGAGCAAGGCAGCAAAGCAGUAAAUUAGGCUUGAUAAUUAUGUAAGAAAGAACUUUGGGUGUAGUUACCAGAAGCAAAUCAAUCAGAAGACUACAUUUUUAGAGGAAUUUUAUUAAUCAUACUAAAUCUGGCUCAAAUAUCAUUGUUCGGGUGUUAAAACAGAGGGUAACUGUCCAACCCCAAGCUUGCAUAAGUAGAAAAAUAGAGCAUAAAACCUUAACAGCUCCCCAGUACCCACACAGGAUGUGGCCAUGGAGAAUGAUGGACAAAAAAAGAACAUUUCAGAAGCUCGUAUAAGGAGCUGUACUAAAGACUGGACAGGGAGUUUCUCCUGAAGACUAGAAUUGGAGUUUCAUCAGAACUUUCUUCAGUUUCAAGGAGAUGGGCCGCAAAAUGUUUAUGCAGUAUUUCAUCAUUAUUAUACAUGAAUAGUAUUGCUCAGUAUCACAUUUUUUUUCUGAAUGAGAGAAUGUAUUAUAGUUAUCUGUCCCUGAGUUACCACUAUAUAUUGGGUUUGCAGGGAUGGGGGUGACAAUAAAGAUAAUUUGUCUUUUUAGU
rnacentral:lncRNA from 1 species